UACAAGAACCUAAGCUAAGCCUCCCUUUUA
rnacentral:piRNA from 1 species